GUCGAUUAUGAUGGAGGAACAUCGAACCCAACUUCAUUGAUUCUUCAAAACAGUAACCCGACCAUCAUUGAGGUUAACCCAACAACCCUUCAACCAAACGUUUAUCCCUAGUGUGUUUUGUCCCGGUGAUGAAGAGCUCCAGCAGUGUCAACGAUGGGUGAUGCGAAUUCCAACAACUUCAAUGGACGAUCGGCGUUUUGGACUUCUUUUUGGAGAUCUCAACGGUGGGGAUGUAUCAUUUGGCAGCGAGAAUGACAUAAAUAAAAUCUAGCUUCAUCAGACGGUGACCGACGAUGAUAUAGAUGAUUUUAAUUCAAGAAAAAUCGAAUGGUUUUCGGUAGAUCUAUGACCAUUCAUGAGGUUUCUCGAUGAACAGAGGACAUAUUCAUAGAGAGAAGACCAAGGCGCUUCGAACGAUGAAAAUUAGGUCUUGAACGAUGACUGAAGGCGGCGACCGACGUGGUGGUCAUAGGCGUCUUGCUAUUGUCGGCAAAGCUUCUUGUUCCAUUUACAGAGCACUUGGUGGAAAGUGCUCAAUGAAAGAAUGAAUUAUAAGAAAUUUAUGGUGAUGCGUGAAGAACAAAAGCAUAAAAUGAAUAAUCAAAACUACGUAGUUUUGUGGUGUUUGGAAUUGGAGAUGGGCAAACCAUAAUUUAAGUCCUCUAUUUUUGGUUCGGGUUCUUGUGGAAAAGAUUGGAAGCUAGAAAUUGAGUUGGCGAGCUUUAAUUGAAGAGUUAUUGUUUGGGUUUUAUUGACGUCCUGAGUCCGAUUCCGAAGUCCGUUUCGCCAAAUUUGAAUCCGGAAUUAUUGGAAGUUGAAUUAAAGAUCGAGGGCG